rnacentral:rRNA from 1 species
GACGAACGCUGGCGGCGUGCUUAACACAUGCAAGUCGAACGGAAAGGCCCUGCUUUUGUGGGGUGCUCGAGUGGCGAACGGGUGAGUAACACGUGAGUAACCUGCCCUUGACUUUGGGAUAACUUCAGGAAACUGGGGCUAAUACCGGAUAGGAUCUCCUGCUGCAUGGUGGGGGUUGGAAAGUUUCGGCGGUUGGGGAUGGACUCGCGGCUUAUCAGCUUGUUGGUGGGGUAGUGGCUUACCAAGGCUUUGACGGGUAGCCGGCCUGAGAGGGUGACCGGCCACAUUGGGACUGAGAUACGGCCCAGACGCCUACGGGAGGCAGCAGUGGGGAAUAUUGCACAAUGGGCGGAAGCCUGAUGCAGCAACGCCGCGUGCGGGAUGACGGCCUUCGGGUUGUAAACCGCUUUCGCCUGUGACGAAGCGUGAGUGACGGUAAUGGGUAAAGAAGCACCGGCUAACUACGUG